rnacentral:rRNA from 1 species
GUAGGUGGCAAGCGUUGUCCGGAAUUAUUGGGCGUAAAGCGCGCGCAGGUGGUUCUUUAAGUCUGAUGUGAAAGCCCCCGGCUCAACCGGGGAGGGUCAUUGGAAACUGGGGAACUUGAGUGCAGGAGAGGAAAGUGGAAUUCCACGUGUAGCGGUGAAAUGCGUAGAUAUGUGGAGGAACACCAGUGGCGAAGGCGACUUACUGGCCUGUAACUGACACUGAGGCGCGAAAGCGUGGGGAGCAAACAGGGAUUAGAUACCCUGGUAGUCCACGCCGUAAACGAUGAGUGCUAAGUGUUGGGGGGGUUUCCCGCCCCGUCAGUGCUGCAGCUAACGCAUUAAGCACUCCGCCUGGGGAGUACGGUCGCAAGACUG